UAAAAUUAAAGGGAACAAUCUUGUGGAGCAUUUAUCAGCUAGCUGUAAAUUAUUGAUUUAUUUAUCUCUAAGGACACUCAACACAUUGAGUGUCAGAUUCUCUGUAGUAAAGAAUCAGUGGUUAUUGGUAGAUAACCACUAUAUAUUAAAAACAAAUAUGAGGGCCAGAUAUGAUGGCCUAUACCUAUAAUCUCAGGCCUUAAGGAGGAGACAAGGGAAUCAGGAUGGUAACUUUGAGAUUAGCCUGAGCAAGUUCCAGGGUAGCCUGAGUCACAGCUUGUCUCCCAAAACAGAAUAUCAACAACAAAUGUCUGUAAGAGACAUUUUAUUAUGUGUGAUAACCAAAGAACAGGGGCAGACAUGUUGUGUGGUAAUUUAAAUAUGAAAUUAUGGGAUCUGAAAAGAACAGGAAAUGUUAAAAGCAGCUUGGACUUUGGUGGCAG
rnacentral:lncRNA from 1 species